UACGUAGGUGACAAGCGUUAUCCGGAUUUAUUGGGCGUAAAGCGCCCGUAGGCGGUCUAUCAAGUCUGAUGUGAAAUCUCUCGGCUUAACCGGGAGCGGUCGUUGGAAACUGAUGGACUUGAGGCGAUGAGAGGGGUGUGGAAUUCCCGGUGUAGUGGUGGAAUGCGUAGAUAUCGGGAGGAACAUCAGUGGCGAAAGCGGCCCCCUGGCAUUAGCCUGACGCUCAUGUGCGAAAGCGUGGGGAGCGAACGGG
rnacentral:rRNA from 1 species